GGGGAUUUAGCUCAGCGGUAGAGCGCUUGCCUAGCAAGCACAAGGCCCUGGGUUCCGUCCCAGCUCCA
rnacentral:tRNA from 1 species